rnacentral:rRNA from 1 species
UUUAUUGGUGUUCCACGUUAAUCUUGAACCACUCUAAUCCAUCCCGAACUUAGAGGUGAAAUAGAUUAAGAGAUUUAAAAACUUAAUGGGUAGCUAUUUGGAAAUUAAAUCUUAAUGCCAAUAUA